rnacentral:rRNA from 1 species
GACGAACGCUGGCGGCGUGCUUAACACAUGCAAGUCGAACGGAAAGGCCCUGCUUUUGUGGGGUGCUCGAGUGGCGAACGGGUGAGUAACACGUGAGUAACCUGCCCUUGACUUUGGGAUAACUUCAGGAAACUGGGGCUAAUACCGGAUAGGAGCUCCUGCUGCAUGGUGGGGGUUGGAAAGUUUCGGCGGUUGGGGAUGGACUCGCGGCUUAUCAGCUUGUUGGUGGGGUAGUGGCUUACCAAGGCUUUGACGGGUAGCCGGCCUGAGAGGGUGACCGGCCACAUUGGGACUGCGGUACGGUCCAGACUCCUACGGGAGGCAGCAGUGGGGAAUAUUGCACAAUGGGCGGAAGCCUGAUGCAGCAACGCCGCGUGCGGGAUGACGGCCUUCGGGUUGUAAACCGCUUUCGCCUGUGACGAAGCGUGAGUGACGGUAAUGGGUAAAGAAGCACCGGCUAACUACGUG